rnacentral:rRNA from 1 species
GAUGAACGCUGGCGGCGUGCCUAAUACAUGCCAGUCGAGCGAACGGACGAGAAGCUUGCUUCUCUGAUGUUAGCGGCGGACGGGUGAGUAACACGUGGAUAACCUACCUAUAAGACUGGGAUAACUUCGGGAAACCGGAGCUAAUACCGGAUAAUAUUUUGAACCGCAUGGUUCAAAAGUGAAAGACGGUCUUGCUGUCACUUAUAGAUGGAUCCGCGCUGCAUUAGCUAGUUGGUAAGGUAACGGCUUAUCAAGGCAACGAUGCAUAGCCGACCUGAGAGGGUGAUCGGCCACACUGGAACGGAGACACGGUCCAGACUCCUACGGGAGGCAGCAGUAUGGAAUCUUCCGCAAUGGGCGAAAGCCUGACGGAGCAACACCGCGUGAGUGAUGAAGGUCUUCGGAUCGUAAAACUCUGUUAUUAGGGAAGAACAUAUGUGUAAGUAACUGUGCACAUCUUGACGGUACCUAAUCAGAAAGCCACGGCUAACUACGUG